rnacentral:lncRNA from 1 species
CCUUGACUGACAUUCACCUUGCAUAAAUAAUUACUAACAUAAAAAAUACUAACAUUCAAAAAAAUACACAGACUCUAUUUUUCUUUUGCCCGAGGUGGCAUCCCCAAAUUUUAUGUAAACAAAGCUGAAAGUGGUAUGCAAAUUUAAAUGAUUAACUUAAUACUCUCAAAUUCAUAGUGCACAACUAAUAAUUUAACGUACGUAGAGAUUAACUGUACAACCUCUACGCCAGGUAAGUAUUGGAGCAAAGCUGUAACAAGUUACAUAUUACGACGUGGCGAUUUCCCCCUUGUAAAGGCGGGUGGCCAAAUAAUUCCCCUCUACCUAAGGGUAGAGCGGUAACUUAAAACCUCAAAAAAAAAAAAUGAUUAACUUAGUCUUUAAGAGACACUGCAAGCACGUGGGGAACAUAACCUCUACGCCAGGUAAGUAUUGGAGCAAAGCUGUAACAAGUUACAUAUUACGACGUGGCGAUUUCCCCCUUGUAAAGGCGGGUGGCCAAAUAAUUCCCCUCUACCUAAGGGUAGAGCGGUAACUUAAAACCUCAAAAAAAAAAAAAAAAAAAUGAUUAACUUAAACUAAAAAGAGCUCUUGUUAGUAGUUAUUGCAUGAUAUGUAUAAGUUGGGAAAAGGGGGUGGUAUUCGGGGGGAAAAAUAGACUCCGCUUACAUGGAUUAAUUAAACGGACCUAUACGAAAACCUAUUCUAACAUAUUUUUGGUUGUUGUUCUUUUUUUGUAUUUUAUUUUAUUUUAUUUUAUUUUUUUGUGACGACUUGGGUUUUGAACUAUCAAGUCCAAAUCAAACAAAAUUACAGGUGCUAAGUGUGAAUUGAUUAAGUGUUCCGGGAAUGAAUAUACCAAGUGCGAAUAAGGUUGUAGUGGGUAUGAGUGGGUAUGAUGUAUGGGCGAUGGGGCUUAUUUUCUGUGUAUCAUUUUAAUAAUAGGGUUAAUAUGGGUGACUAUCUCUAUGUGAAUACGUGCGGGUUUUUUUUGUGGGAGUGCUGUGUGUGUGAUGAGUGUGAUGUGUGGUGUGAUGUGUGUGUGAUGUGUGUGAUGGUGCUGAUGCUGUAUGCUGCGGUGUGCGUGGCGCCGGUGCGUGGUGCGUAUGUGAUGUGUGUGUGAUGAGAGUGUCGCGGGUGUGAUGGGUGGUGCGCUGUGCCGCUGCGGUGUGCGAGGCGCCGGUGCGUUGUGCGGGGCGCCGGUGCGUUGUGCGGUGUGUUCCCUUAGAUUGGGCACUCUGCUCCUCCCGAGGUGCUCCGGCCGUGCCAGCCUUGGCGCUGACCCUGCUGUCGGCUCUCUGCGUGUUGUCCGCUGCUGCCGUCUUCUCCUUCCAGCGCCGUCGUCGCCUCGCUUCACGAUUUUCGGUUUCGUUUUGUUAGCUUUUGGGCACUGAUUUUAAUUUUCUCCUUUUUUUUUCUUUUACUUUAGAUUGCCGACCGACCUCUUGAAAUUCUUCCCGGAAACUGACCUUCUCAAUAUAACCUUCACGGCCACGUUCCCUUCUAUCCUUCUUGUCACCUUGCAACCCUUUUUCAGCCUCCUCGGAUCCACAGCAGAGGCCGCUGUCUGGUCUUCUUCUCCAGCCCUGUCGGUUAUCGGCUACCUCAGAAAGCCGUCCAUAACACCACACUCUCGUUUAAAGGUCCU